GAUGAACGCUGGCGGCGCGCCUAACACAUGCAAGUCGAACGAUUAAAGCACCUUCGGGUGUGUAUAAAGUGGCGAACGGCUGAGUAACACGUGGGCAACCUGCCCCUCUCAUUGGGAUAGCCACGGGAAACCGUGGAUAAUACCGAAUACUUCGGGACUUCCGCAUGGAAGACUCGAGAAAGCUCCGGCGGAGAGGGAUGGGCCCGCGGCCUGUUAGCUUGUUGGUGGGGUAACGGCCUACCAAGGCAAUGAUGGGUAGCUGGGUUGAGAGACCGACCAGCCAGAUUGGGACUGAGACACGGCCCAGACUCCUACGGGAGGCAGCAGUGGGGAAUCUUGCACAAUGGGCGAAAGCCUGAUGCAGCGACGCCGCGUGCGGGAUGAAGGCCUUCGGGUUGUAAACCGCUUUCAGCAGGGACGAGGCGAAAGUGACGGUACCUGCAGAAGAAGCCCCGGCUAACUACGUGCCAGCAGCCGCGGUAAUACGUAGGGGGCAAGCGUUAUCCGGAUUCAUUGGGCGUAAAGCGCUCGUAGGCGGUCUGUUAGGUCGGGAGUUAAAUCCGGGGGCUCAACCCCCGUUCGCUCCCGAUACCGGCAGACUUGAGUUUGGUAGGGGAAGGUGGAAUUCCUAGUGUAGCGGUGGAAUGCGCAGAUAUAGGAAGAACACCAGUGGCGAAGGCGGCUUUCUGGCCAAUAACUGACGCUGAGGAGCGAAAGCUAGGGGAGCAAACAGGG
rnacentral:rRNA from 1 species